rnacentral:sRNA from 1 species
GCCGCGCCCAGGCCGACGGGGCGAAAAGCCGGACACCUUCGCUGGCUUGGUACGGUGCCUUUAUGAAGG